GAUGAAGAACGCAGUGAAAUGCGAUAAGUAAUGUGAAUUGCAGAAUUCAGUGAAUCAUCGAAUCUUUGAACGCACAUUGCGCCCUCUGGUAUUCCGGGGGGCAUGCCUGUUCGAGCGUCAUUAUAACCACUCAAGCUCUCGCUUGGUAUUGGGGUUCGCGGUUUCGCGGCCCCUAAAAUCAGUGGCGGUGCCUGUCGGCUCUACGCGUAGUAAUACUCCUCGCGAUUGAGUCCGGUAGGUCUACUUGCCAGCAACCCCUAAUUUUUUUAAGGUUGACCUCGGAUCAGGUAGGGAUACCCGCUGAACUUAAGCAUAUCAAUAAGCGGAGGA
rnacentral:misc_RNA from 1 species